CAGUGCGGGCGCGCGGCGCACGGCUGCGCCCGGGAGGAAGCGGCCAGCGCAGUGGGCGCCCGCGGCUCCGCGCUCCUCCCCCCGCCACUCCUGCCCCGCGGCGCCCACCCUACGGCGCCCGGGCCCCGCGGACCUGAGACCCUGAGGCCGAGAGCGGAACUGCCCUGGGCGCUUUCCCGGGCUUGGCGGAGAGGAGCCCGGCGGGGCUCUCAGGGCUCGCGCUGGCAGUGCGCAGCGAGGAAAGGAGAGCUGCGUUCGGCUGGGUGCCCUCGGAGCGCCGGGAGGCGGGGUGCGCUCGCCCCCAGGCUGGGGGGGGGGUGCUGCCAACUGAGAAGCCCCGCGGCGAGGUGCUGUCAUCUCCGCGGGGCCUGAGCACAGAGCCCGGGGCUGCCGGCGCUUUGGCCUUGGACGGAAAGUGGGGAAGGGCUCCGGACCCCCUAACAUGGAUUACUUGGUGUGUGUCAGCCGGGCUCCGAAGACCCACGACCGCGUCUCCAUCCUUGGAUUGACUGAUUCUACCUAGCAGUCGGGUCGCUGACCUGGAGGUGAAAUCAGAGGUGUGAGGCUGACCUGGGGAGGUGCUCCGAGCCAAGAAAGAAGGAUAAGAAAGAAGGCCUGGAAAAGAGCAGCGGCUAAGGGCCGCUCUUCCUCACUCCCACUUGCCACCAGGAAGCUGGGGGGAGCCAACGUACGCCAUUGGGACCUCUCAAAGUACCCGGCUAAUAUGGGACCAUCUCUUAAGAGGCAAGAGCUCUGGCUCUGAUUAAGAAUUCUUAUUUUGGAGAAAGAAGAAACUUCUGGAUUUAAGACAUUGGAAGAGAAAGUAAAGACCUUUGCACUGAGGAAUAGUGUAUGUCUGGACCCGCACGAGCUGGACGCAACCUACAGUUGACGAGUCACCAUCAUCACAGACCUUGUCCUUCCUUCUUGUGGAAAACAUUUCCUCUUCUGCUGCCUGCCCUUAAGACUCCCCCGCACCCCCCAGCCCAAUGCCCGGGAACCAAAGGGCUUUCUACCACACCCUUUCUUGCCCCCCAGUUCCCCCGUCUGCUGUGCCUUUGGACUCGGCAAUUCUUGUUUGCUCCAUUAUCUUCCAGCCGGAUACAGAGUGAAUUGUUAACCACACUUAGGUCAAAUGGGAUUUUAAUUUUUGUUCCUGUUCCUUCUAAAGAGGCCAGUGUUUGUGUUGCUAUGUGAGCAGCAUUGGAAUAGAAUGUCCUCUCGCUUCUUUGGGAUCUGGCCCCUCAGGUUCCAGAGUGAUACGGGUCAGUGCAGAAGUUCUUCGGGACCUCAGAUGUCAGGGAUGUUGCCGGGGGGGCCUCCUGUAGGGGCUCUGGUGUCCUCCAUGUCAGCUUUCUUUGCUUGGAUCCCACCCAGAUGUUUGUCCGGAAGAGCAAAAAGUGAAUGCUGUGUGUUCAUCCCCGCUAUCUGCUCUUUUUUUUUUUUAAUGUCAUUUGAUGUAUAAUUGACAUAGUAUUCUGUCCAUUUCCCACCUGUCUUCUGUUGACGCAGACGUACCACCAGCUGUGAAGACCCCUUCCCUCAGAUGGCAGAUGGGGCCCCGGCCAGAGCAUGGGGCUUUGUCACAGACCAUCUCGCUACCAGAGCUGUGUGUUUAUUGAAGACCCUCUGCCCCUCGGAUGCUGGUGUCACUCCUGACGGCAGACCGGGCCCCUCGAAACACGAGUCCUGUUUGUUUUGUCCCUCCAGUGCCACCGUGCACGUGGCUGAAAACACUUCUAGAGUCAACCUUGUCUCAAUUGCAGAGCCGAAGAUGUCCGUUCGUUCUACUUCUAAAGCAAACGAUGGCUUGCCUUUGUAGGAGGAAUUAAAGCCAUACACAUAUAUCUUCUCUUUGUUUGUGGGUGAAGUGUUUCUGUGACCAUAGAAUGACCUCCGUGUCUGCUCAGGGGAGCAACGGGGUCCUUCUUGGCCUUAGAUUCCCCACAAAAUAAGCAAGGAGAACCUCUUGAGGUUGUUUCCUGCUGUUGAAAUGUAAGGCUCGUUCAUGGGCUUUGGUCUUCCUUCCUUGACAUGCACACAGACUUGUUGUACUGGUUAGAGUCUUUCAGGUUUCAAGGAACAGAGACCCCUUAGAUCACCUGCAUUAACGUGGGUUUAUUCCAAGUUGCUCUGGAAGUAAGGUAGACAGGAACGGUCUGCCCAGCAGCUGCCCAGCGAGGCCUUUCUAGAAGCCCAAAGUCAUUCAAGACAUCCAUUCGCUAGACAGUUUCCAGAAACAGCAAGAACUCUGAUGCUGUGGUCAUUUUGAUCAUCUGCUCAGCAGCACGACUCACUGCUCCUGAUUCUGGAAUUCUCCUGUGAUGAUGAGCUGAGGGUGCUGGCUGUCCCAGAACACACAACUUUCCGUGAUAAACCUGGGACAGUCCUGGGCAAACCGGAACAAUUAGCCACGCUCCUGGGUUACAGAGUUACCUGCCAUAGUUUGCUGAUGCUCUUGAUUAGCCCAACCAGCUGCCAUUCAGAACCCUUGUGUCUGACCACAUUGUUCACCACUGGGCAGGCUGUAGAUGGAGGCCAUUGGAUCAAGCACCCAGUCCUGACCACAUCAGGUGUUUCCCGGGUGGUAGGGUUACAUGAUAUUGAAUAAAAACCUGGAUGUAACAAACCAGCUGAGACCACUUCCUUCAGAAGAAGUGCUGUGGAUAGUGGACCUGGGAGCCAUUCAAGGUAUCAGGGAUUCCUCUCCAAUCCAGUCCUACUUAAAAAAGGCGAUGCUAAUAACCUUUCUUGUUAAGAACAGAACAGUUCCUUAGGAAAGAAAACUACCACGGCCACUGGGAACGGGGGUGGUGGUGGGGGAAUAAACUACACGUGUCUGAGAGACACGCAUAUACCACGUAGAAUGAGCCAAGAAGAAAACUCUGCAUCUUCGCUAGAGAGAGUAAGAGCUAAAAUCAUCAGGGUAGGGUUGUCUAGGGAGCAAAGGAGUUGGCUGGAGGACUUCCUGAGAUUCCUUUGAACUCUAGGAUUCUUUGAAAUAUCAAGGACCCGUAAAUGGGGCCCAAGUGUGUACUUUCCCUCAGAGUCUCUGGAUCACCUUUGAGUUCCACUCCGAUCGUGUUGAAUGGGACCUCCCAGCUCCCUCUUCCCUCUCCAGGCACUGCCUCUAUCUGGGAUAAGGGAGCAGAACUUGGUGGUGGUUGUGGGCGGUGGAGGCAGAUGGGAAGGUUGUACCUGCCCAACUUUUGGUGUUCUUGACAAGUAAGAACAAUCUGAAGGCAAAUUACAGGUACUUUUCAGGUUAGUCAAAGCCAGGCUUUCGGGCUUGCAUGCCAUCCUGUAGCUGUUGCUUCUUGUCAGGGGGUCAGGCCUCCGUCGUUUCUGUUGAAAGACGGGCAUGCGCGUCUGCAGUGUUCUAACGGGAGCCUUCAGCCCGUCCCGCCCCUCUUGCACGCUGUGGCCAUAUGGGGGGUUAUUGCCUGCCAAGGUAGAGAUGAGCAUGCAAACAUCGAGAAACCCAACUCUCAUUACCACUAUGCAAAGAUCGAGAUCCCCCAUGCACCCGAGUCUUUGCCCUGUUCUGGCUCUCUGUGCCUUCACUGUCAUAGAAGGAAGGCUAGCCCAGCGCCUUGGGCACCACUUUUCUUUUUAAAAAGAUGAACUCAUUUCAGACGUUCCCUUCAUUCAUGUCCCAUGUACGGUCUUUGGUUCCAGAAGAAGUCUCAUUGUUGUGCCAAAGGCAACAAUCUCCUCUUUCUCUCUCUCUCCUUAUCUUCUUGUCCACAUAGAAUCCCAGAGUUCAAAGUGGUCUAAAGGCAUCACCUUUAUCUAGAUUUACCUCUGACUGAGGCAGGAAUCCCCUUUCCAGCAUCAGACGAGGGAUCACCCAGGCCUGGGGGAGGCAGACUUUAUGGCAGAACGGGAGAGGACUGUGAGAGAGGGGUGAAUGAUACUCAGCCUGGUAAGGGAAGCGGUAGGAUUGUGAAGAGCGGCUCGUGGGCUGCCUAGAGACCACGAAUGUCAACUUCUUAAUGAGAUUUUGAGGCAGGUGCACUGUGCCCCCUCCCCAGCAUAUUUCGGUCUCUUCUGGAUCCAGGGUGCCUUCCGCUGAUAAAAAGCACAGAGUGGGGAGACAAGGAAAUCUGAGAUUUUUGUCUCCAAAAGCUCCUCAUCUUCGUUCCUUCCCUGCAAAAUGGAGGAGCCGGGCCACGUGAUCCCCGAAGCCCCUUCUGUCUCUGACAUCCACAGUGCCGUCGUAUUUAAUCAAGUCGGUGACUUGAAGGUUUGCUUGUUUUUUGCUCCAUGUGAGAAGAGUAAAUCAGAUGUUGCCCAAGGUACGGUAGAAAGGCAUCUCAUCCACAUGCUGAACAUACUCAUCUUGCUGUGAUCCAUUAUGAACAUAACCUCAAGUUCCGGCCCUGUCCCGAGAUUUUGUUCAGGCUUUCCUGUGAGAUUUUCCCAUGGCAUCAAAACUUGACCCACAGGGACCUUUUAUCCUCUUCAGAGGGUCCCCCAAACCCCAGUGUUGAUGGAGAAAUAGAAGGUUCUAAUGGUGAAGUAUGGCCCUCUGCUCAGGGGAAUAUGGUUUAAAGGGCAUAAGGGUGACCUUGGGAUUGGCCACUGACCUUGGACAAGACCCUCAAUGCCGGGCUGGUGGGAGGCAGGGCUGGUGGGAGGCAGGGCUGGGUCCCCCUAGCUCUGCUUCCGAGUGAGACCUUCUAUGCCCAGGCUGACAAGAGCUCUGAACUGGGGAGGGGAGGGGGGUGUCUGGAAGUCUGUACUUUAGUCCUACCUUAACUUCAGCCCCAGGGUCCUUUUCUGUGGGUCUCAGUCUUCUCAUCCACAAAGUGGGAGAGAGAGGGAUAAGUGGGUGGUGUGGAUGGUCCUCUAAGGUCCCUCCCAUGUGUCAAGUUCUAAGCCUCGCCAGACCCAGCUGAGGCCUGCCUAUUCUCUGACAAGUAGCUCUUCUCCUUUUGCCUUCGGCUGCACAAGCCAAAAACAGGGCUGUCCUGGGAAGUCCAUUACCGAAGAAUACUUCAAAGCUGUUUGCACUCAUUGUCAGUUGCACUGAACUUGAGUUUGUUGAGGGAGAAGGCAAAUAGACAUACAGACUGAUGGCAGGCACGGGGAAGGGGGACUGCUAUUUGCCUGGGGUGACGGGGGGCGGGGGGGAUUGCCUAUAGUUUUGACCAAUAAAUAAAAACUGGGAGCUCUGCGUGGUUACAACUGGAGGGGAUUUAUUAGUUUGCUUAGUGAAAGGCAAAUAUUAAGUCUUAAGUUGACCCAUCCUGGGACCUGCCUUUUGGCUUUUGUAUGCCGUCCGGCACCGAUCACUGUGUACUUCGGGUUAUCAAGUUCUGUCAGAGGGUUUUUUUUUUUAAUUGUUUUCUGUCUCCUUCUCCUUUCUUCCCUCCUUUGCCUGCCUUCGCCCCGCUGUUACCACAACUCGGGGCUGGGUUUUAGAGACGUAAGGAAAGCAGAAUGUGGAAGACACCUUGUCGCAUUGUCCUGUUUACGAAGCUGGCUGUGUUCAGGGCUCCCGCUGGCUUCGGAACUGCCCGGCUAUGGGGCAGAGGCUCAGGACCAGGAGGUCCUCGUGGGUCCCCUCCAUCCUCGGCCCUGAGCAUAAGUCUGGGCAUCGGAAAAAGAUACCCAUCGCCCGUUUUUCUGUGUUGUAACCUUUCCUUCCUAUGUGACUGUUGGUGCUGAACAGUGACUGGUGAUCUCAGCCAGAUGCCCUGCAGAAUGAGCCACUGAAGGCAGAUUACUGAGGAGGGAAGCAGCAGGCCAGUGGAGAAGAUGAUUCUGCGGUGCUUCCAGAAUAGGGGGGCGGGGCGAGGCAGAGAGAGAGGCCAGGACCUAGCGCCUGCGGACUUCUCCCCUUCCUCUGUCUCUCGGUCCAUCACCCUUCUCCAGCCCAGCAGCCCGACUCCAGACAGAGCUUAUAAAGGCAAAGUAGAAGCAUCUGGAAGUAUUUCUACUUGUACAGCGUCUAUUGCGGAACGGGACUCAUGACACAGCAGGCCAGGCUGCCUGGGUGCAGGAUGGUGUAUGACGUGGUUCUCUUCUGGAGAUGUGGGCCGCCUGGGUUCAAGGUGAUCCCAGAGCAUCGUGGAGGUGCUCACCAGCAAAGAUGGCAGAUACGCUUGAAAAUCCUUUUCAUUAGUGACUCCGUUGACCAACCGACCCGUGACAAAGCUGAGACUUUAUUCCUAGCUGUCCACAUUCCGUGAAACCAAAGACUCUCGGUGGUUUUCUGCACUGAGUCAGAGGCAAAGAGGUUUUUGCUUUGCUGGGUCCCUCCUGUUUCCCUGCACCGCUCCCUUCCUCACUGCAAGCUGGUCUCGGGGCUAUAUUUAAGUGUUUCUGAGUCAUAGAGAACUGGUCCCUGUUCCUCCCUGCUCACCCACCCAUCCGCUCUCCGAAUGGCAUCUAGCACUCCAUCCCCAGUUGGAGGGAUUUCAAGGCUUAGGGCUGAGUAACAAGGAGCUCAGAGAGGACUCCACACAGGCUUUGGAGGUCUUCCCCUUUGACCGAGCCCCGCCCAGUGUCCCGGCCUCCCUCCCCCUGAGCUCUAGCAGCCAGAACCUCCCCGGAGGUGACUAACAGAACCUCUUAGCCCAUGGAGUCCCUCUCCAUUCUGAUGGGUCUCGUUGCUAGUGUUGCACAGAAACUGGUCCAAUAUUUGCAAAGAAACACUGGCCCAAGGAUGCUUCGAGGCAGGCACCCAGCAGAGAAGGCCCAGAGUGCCCUUCCUCCUUCCCCCACACUCCUUCCUGGGACAUUUAUUUGAAUACCACCGGGGAGUGGGUCACUUUGGGGUAUUUAUUUGUUUAAGCAUGGGUGGUUCCUGCAGAGGAGGGUGUCGGGUUUCAAGGUUGGAGGACCAAUGCAAACAGAGAGUGGGUGGUCUGGAAAAAGAAGUGGGCAAGGGGCAGGGGUUGAGAGAACCCAUUCGCCCUUUUAUGUUUGUAGGUGGAAAUGCUGAAUGAAGCGUGACCUUAUGUAUGACCCAGUUAUCUCUGAGACAGAGCAACUUGAGGGGGGGGGUGUGUUCAGACUUUUCGUAGAUUGUUGAAGAGUAUUUGGAAAUCAUUGGGCAAUUAUUUAGGGGCAAUAACUCUCUUAUUAACUUAUCUCGAGGGGUCUGGUGACUAUCUGAGUGCCUUGGGGAGGAGCGGAAGUGUGGUUAGAACCAGGCUGGACUGUUUCUAACGGCAGACCCAACUCAGGGAUUCUGGAAGAUUCCUGAAAAGCUGCUGGGUGCAGUCGUGGGAUGAGGUGCCGGUUGUCGGCCAGAAUGAAUGGUCCCGCCUUGUGUCCGAGGGCCCGCCUCAUUUCUGGGUUAAAGUAGUCAGAAGAAUAUCUCUGAUUCGUUUUUGGGGUCACAGCAGCCCUGACUGGCAGAGCUCAGAGCUUUAUAUUCGGCAGGUCACUGUCAAAAACAAAACAAAACAAAAACAAAGAGAAGAUGAAGGAAAACCAGGAGUGAAGGUAACAUUGCGUCUCUCCGGUCCACAGUAUUCUGAAACCCAGCGGCAAAGAGCAAUGGCAACCUAACCUGUGGUCCGUAAGGCCAUCCCAGAGUUCUCGACUACAGAAUUGGACGUUUGUCAUAGCGGGCUCACCAUUAGUCUUCACAGAUGGGAUGCUGAAGAACUGAAGGGUUUGCCAGGAGGGAACACACCAGGGAAGCUUUGGGGAAUAUGGCGGUAUCCAGUUAAUGACAUUGUUAAAUACAAGAGCUGCAAGGGAGAUACAGUGAGUGGCCAUUGUCCCCAUGUCCUACCAAGGGAAAGAGGAGGUGGGGUUCACGGAGCAAUGUGGAAUGAGGUCAAACACCAGAAAUCCUCCCCUAAUCCUGAAAGUGACAGCCUCAGAGAGCCCAGGGCAUCAACUUUUUUUUUAAGAGUUGGAGGGAGAGGACCGCUUUUUACCAAGUCCUAAGUACCGUUCCCUCUGGACAGAAAAGAAGACUCUCGCUAGAUGAAUAGCUGCACCAAUUGAAGACCUUGUUAGAAAUUAAUGAUGUGUGUAAACGAAGUGUUUAGGGAUGAAGGGGCCGGAUGUCCGCUGUUGACUUUGACAUGCGUUGAAAAAGUGAAAUAGGUUGAUGGAUAGAUCCGUGCACAGGUAUGUGAUGAAGCAAACAUAGCAAAAUCUUGACAAUCAUAGAAUCUAGGUGUGUGGGUACAACGUUUCUCUAUGUUUGAACAUUUGCAAAUAAAGCUUGGAACAAAGUACCAAUCCCUGGGCCACCCAUGGUGAUUUCGAUUCAGGGAGAUGGGGAUGAGAUCUAGGAAUUUUUUUAAGCAUUUCAGGGGAUUCGGAUAGAGAGCCAAGUUUGGUCAGACAUCUGUGGAAUAGACUGGUAUUCCUCCAAUUGGAUGGACACAGGAAUCCCCUGGAGAUUCUGUCAAAAUGAGGGGUCUGAUCCAGCAGGUCCGGGGUGGGACCUGAGAGUCUGCCUUUCUCACAAGCUCCCAGGUGAUGUUGAUGCUGCUGGGGAAUGGACUCCCACCUUGAGUAGAAGAAAGAAAUGAGAGGACUCUCUCUUGUUCUUUCCACCUAUGUAGUCCAGUGGAAUCCUCUGGAAAGCUGUAAAAUUGAUGCAUGAGGGUCUCACCCCCAGCGAUUCUGGUUUAAGAGAUUUAAAAAGCUCCGCAGAUGAUUCUCACGUGCAGCCACUGACUUUACGUCAUGAAAUGAAUCCAGGGAAUAUUAAAUUUUAGGAAAUGAAUUUUUUGCACGAAAGACACAGACCCUCAUCACCAAAGGUGCAGGGGCUCUUCCAACAGCAAUGGAAGACUCAAAGCCGCCCCCGCUGCGGGAUUCCACUUAGUUCCCCCCAUGAUGAGAACUAUUAGUGUUUAUGGAGUGGCCGACGCCUUAGAUGGUUAGGUUCCAUCAUCACCAUAACCGGGUGAGGGAGGCAUGAUUACUCACUGAAGGUGGGGACACCGAGCUUGGUUAAGUGGCUGGACCAAGGUGACCCAGCUAUUAAGUCUUGGACAAAGACUGGAACUAGGUCUGCCUGACUUCAAAGCCCAUCGUUUCAUUCCAUCGUCUUCAUUCCACGUCUUCCAGUGUGUUGGAGAACUAUAGCCUGUGGGCCAGAUCUGGCCAGCUGCCUAUUUUUAUAAAUAAAGUGUUUUUUUGUUUUGUUUUUACGAUUUUAUUUUUAAGCAAUCUCCACCCCCAACACGGGGCUUGAACUCACAGCCCUGAGAUAGAGAGUAGCACACUCUACCCACUGAGCCAGCCAGGCGCCCCUGUAAAUGAAGCUUUACUAGAACGCAGCCAUGCCCGCUCUUUUCCAUAUUGUAUCCGCUUUUGUGCUAAAGUGGGAGAGUUAAGCAUUUGCGGCAGAGACCCCCAUGGCCCCAGAGUUGAAAAUAUUUGCUAUCUGGUCUUUUACAUGACAGGUUGGCUGACUUUUGAUGGAUUGGUGAGGCAGCCAACCAGAGCCAAGGUGCAAUCUUUGGCAGUACUUUCGAGCAAGAGGAAUAGCCCCGUGGAGGAUGAACUUGAACUCAUGAUCACUGCAGCUCGGGUUUCUGCUCAGACUUUUUACUUCAAUCUCGUGGCCUGCCUUUCGCUCCGAGGGUUACUUGCUUCCUUUCAGCAUAUUUUAUUUUGAUGCCAAAAUUUCUGAUCUGUUUUCUUAAGAGCAGGAGGUCUUGAUCCCAAAGCCAAGGCCAUCACACAGCUCUCUGUGGAGUGGGGUGAGGGAGGCCAGCUGCUGGCCACCUUCCACUCCCACACCGUGGGGGGCCUUCAUGGAACCGCUCUGAGCCCCGCUGCUCCUGGGAGGUGGCAGCAGCUAGGGGCUUCCCUCCCAUCCCAUCAGCCAUCCACGGAGAAACCCUGCGGAGAGGUCGGGGAGGGGAGGAAAUGCCAAUCAGUCCAUCAAAGCCCCACCCUCCUGGCGGCUUCUAGCCUCUGAUCGGGGCCUGAGGACCCUUGGCCCACCCCCAGGGGCCGAGGGCAGGGCAAACAGGGGAAGUGCAUUUGGUAAUGAUUCUAGAUUUCCUGUUUGGGUUCUGUCCAGGGGGCUUUGGGACAUGCUAACUUGUACUAUGUGUGUUCACACGAUGAUGUUCCUCUUCUCCUGGUUUUUUUUUUUUUUUCCUCUAGAGCUUGUUUGCAUUUUUUUUUCUUUUUAUUAUUGUUAAAUGAUGUGAGGCAGAGCAAUGGGCCAAUUCCCAGCCUCCUUUGAGGGAAAUUUGUGGAAACGGAGAGGUGAGAGGUAAGGAGAGGCCAGGAUACCCUGCCUGGAUUCCUGGGGAUUUGGCUUGGGUGCCAGAUAGAUCCUGCGCCCCCUGGACGUACGUGGUUGUAAGGUUGUAAUGGAACUGUUUCGGAGGACACCUGGGUGUCUCAGUGGGUCUAGCAUCUGCCUUCCGCUCAGGUCAUGAUCCUGGGGUGCUGGGAUCGAGCCCCGCAUCUGGGCUCCCUGCUCAGCAGGGGGCCUGCUUCUCCCUCUGCCUCUGCCCCUCCCCCUGCUUGUGCUCUCGCUCUCUCUGACAAAUAAAUAAAUAAAAU